GAAAUGCGAUACGCAAUGCGAAUUGCAGAAUUCCGCGAAUCAUCAGAUUCUUGAACGCAACUGGCGCUGGAGGGAUAUCCUUCCAGCAUGUCUGUUUCAGUGUCUGAAAACUUCCUAUCUUAUUCUAAUGUGUUUGACAAGGAGUAAUUCAUUUUUAGAAUGAAUUAUAUAUAUAGAAAUAUAUGUUCCAAGUCUUACAUGAAAGAUGUAUGUGUGGGUCUUUGGAUCCAUCGAAUUGGUCAUCGAUUCUUCGGUGAUUUCGAUUGGAUGUCACCAAUUACUCGUAUACACAUAGAAUAUUUAUAUCAUAACUUUAUCAUUUGCAUCUGAAAUCAGGCAAGAAAACCCGCUGAACUUAA
rnacentral:misc_RNA from 1 species